GACGAACCGUCCUAACGUUGUUCGGAAUCACUGGGCUUAAAGGGCGCGUAGGCGGUCGGCAAAGUCAGGGGUGAAAUCUUUCGGCUUAACCGGAAAAGUGCCUUUGAAACUAGUCGACUCGAGCGAGAUAGGGGCAAUUGGAACUUCCGGUGGAGCGGUGAAAUGCGUUGAUAUCGGAAGGAACGCCGGUGGCGAAAGCGAAAUUGCUGGAUCUCUUCUGACGCUGAGGCGCGAAAGCUAGGGGAGCAAACGGG
rnacentral:rRNA from 1 species